GACGAACGCUGGCGGCGUGCUUAACACAUGCAAGUCGAACGGAAAGGCUCCAGCUUGCUGGAGUACUCGAGUGGCGAACGGGUGAGUAACACGUGGGUAAUCUGCCCUGCACUCUGGGAUAAGCCUGGGAAACUGGGUCUAAUACUGGAUAUGACCUUUCUCCUUAUGGGGUUUGGUGGAAAGUUUUUCGGUGUAGGAUGAGCCCGCGGCCUAUCAGCUUGUUGGUGGGGUGAUGGCCUACCAAGGCGACGACGGGUAGCCGGCCUGAGAGGGUGAUCGGCCACAUUGGGACUGAGAUACGGCCCAGACUCCUACGGGAGGCAGCAGUGGGGAAUAUUGCACAAUGGGCGGAAGCCUGAUGCAGCGACGCCGCGUGAGGGAUGACGGCCUUCGGGUUGUAAACCUCUUUUCAGCAGGGACGAAGCGUAAGUGACGGUACCUGCAGAAGAAGCACCGGCUAACUAUGUGCCAGCAGCCGCGGUAAU
rnacentral:rRNA from 1 species